CACGUAGGGUGCGAGCGUUGUCCGGAAUUAUUGGGCGUAAAGAGCUCGUAGGCGGUGUGUCGCGUCGGCCGUGAAAACCUGCAGCUUAACUGUGGGCGUGCGGUCGAUACGGGCAUCACUGGAGUUCGGCAGGGGAGACUGGAAUUCCUGGUGUAGCGGUGAAAUGCGCAGAUAUCAGGAGGAACACCGGUGGCGAAGGCGGCAUCCUAGACCGGCAUGACGCUGAGGAGCGAAAGCCAGGGGAGCAAACGGG
rnacentral:rRNA from 1 species